AUGACAAAAUAAAUCUUAAAUACUUAAAAUACAUUAUUAAUAGUUUCAUUCAUUAGAUAGGUGAAAAUGCAAAAGCCUGCCAAAAUACAGUGAAUUCAAAAAACACAUAUGUUCCAGUGUGGUUCUGUGCGUUUCUUCUGAAUGUGUUACAGCAGAAAAAUAUUACACAAAAUAUUACACACAGCAAGAAGUGGGACAGUGUUGCGAUAAAAGUCAGACAAAAUUUUAGUAAAAAAGAAAACGGAAAAAAACUAUUAAAA